rnacentral:rRNA from 1 species
UGGGGAAUAUUGCACAAUGGGCGAAAGCCUGAUGCAGCAACGCCGCGUGAGGGAAGACGGUUUUCGGAUUGUAAACCUUUGUCCUCAGUGAAGAUAAUGACGGUAGCUGAGGAGGAAGCCACGGCUAACUACGUGCCAGCAGCCGCGGUAAUACGUAGGUGGCAAGCGUUGUCCGGAAUUACUGGGUGUAAAGGGAGCGCAGGCGGGAGAGCAAGUCAGUGGUGAAAUGCAUGGGCUUAACCCAUGAACUGCCAUUGAAACUGUUUUCUUGAGUGGAUCAGAGGCAAGCGGAAUUCCGAGUGUAGCGGUGAAAUGCGUAGAUAUUCGGAGGAACACCAGUGGCGAAGGCGGCUUGCUGGGGUCUAACGUGACGCUGAGGCUCGAAAGUGUGGGGAGCAAACAGGAUUAGAUACCCGAGU